ACCUUGCUGACGAGUGCCAAGUAGGACGAAACCCGGGUACAGGGU
rnacentral:hammerhead_ribozyme from 1 species